rnacentral:rRNA from 1 species
UCUCCGUUGGUGAACCAGCGGAGGGAUCAUUGCUGGAACGCGCCCCUGGCGCACCCAGAAACCCUUUGUGAACUUAUACCUUACUGUUGCCUCGGCGCAGGCCGUCCCCUAACGGGGUCCCUUGGAAACGAGGAGCAGCCGGCCGGUGGCCAAAUUAACUCUGUUUUUAAACUGAAACUCUGAGUAAAAAACAUAAAUGAAUCAAAACUUUCAACAACGGAUCUCUUGGUUCUGGCAUCGAUGAAGAACGCAGCGAAAUGCGAUAAGUAAUGUGAAUUGCAGAAUUCAGUGAAUCAUCGAAUCUUUGAACGCACAUUGCGCCCUCUGGUAUUCCGGAGGGCAUGCCUGUCCGAGCGUCAUUUCAACCCUCAAGCCUGGCUUGGUGUUGGGGCACUGCUUUCUAACGAGAGCAGGCCCUGAAAUAUAGUGGCGAGCUCGCCAGGACUCCGAGCGUAGUAGUUAAACCCUCGCUUUGGAAGGCCUGGCGGUGCCCUGCCGUUAAACCCCAACUUCUGAAAAUUUGACCUCGGAUCAGGUAGGAAUACCCGCUGAACUUAA